GGUCCCGUAGCUCAGGUGGAUAGAGCGCAAGAUUCCUAAUCUUGAGGCCGGUGGUUCGAGUCCACCCGGGAUCGCCA
rnacentral:tRNA from 1 species